rnacentral:misc_RNA from 1 species
UUAGGGAUUUCCCAUUUGUGUGAAUGAAACGAAUGUCUGAAUAGUCACUCCCAUCAAGUGCUCUUGCAAUCUUGUUCCCAAAUUUACUAGGAAAUCCAUAGAAUCCCAAUAAACUAAGAAUAUAUGCAGCAUACCACUUUAGUCCAGGAGAGUAACUACCACUGCAGAUAUCCUGAAGCUGACUUAUUAACUCAUCUUCAGUAAAUCCAAUUAAUAAAAAAG